CCUACGGGAGGCAGCAGUGGGGAAUUUUGGACAAUGGGCGAAAGCCUGAUCCAGCAAUGCCGCGUGUGUGAAGAAGGCCUUCGGGUUGUAAAGCACUUUUGUCCGGAAAGAAAUCCUUGGCUCUAAUACAGUCGGGGGAUGACGGUACCGGAAGAAUAAGCACCGGCUAACUACGUGCCAGCAGCCGCGGUAAUACGUAGGGUGCGAGCGUUAAUCGGAAUUACUGGGCGUAAAGCGUGCGCAGGCGGUUUGCUAAGACCGAUGUGAAAUCCCCGGGCUCAACCUGGGAACUGCAUUGGUGACUGGCAGGCUAGAGUAUGGCAGAGGGGGGUAGAAUUCCACGUGUAGCAGUGAAAUGCGUAGAGAUGUGGAGGAAUACCGAUGGCGAAGGCAGCCCCCUGGGCCAAUACUGACGCUCAUGCACGAAAGCGUGGGGAGCA
rnacentral:rRNA from 1 species